GGGGGGGGGGGGGGGGGGGGGGGGGGGGGGGGGGGGGGGGGGGGGGGGGGGGCGUGUGGGGGGUGCGCGGGGGGCGAACGGGUGAGGGACACGGGAGUAAGGGGGCCGUGACUUUGGGGGGCCUUGAGGAAACUGGGGGUAAUCCCGGCUAGGAGCUCCUGCUGCAGGGUGGGGGGUGGAAGGUUUCGGCGGGUGGGGGUGGCCUCGCGGCUUAUCAGCUGGUUGGUGGGGUAGUGGCUUACCAAGGCUGUGACGGGUAGCCGGCCUGAGAGGGGGACCGGCCACAUUGGGACUGAGAUACGGCCCAGACUCCUACGGGAGGCAGGAGUGGGGAAUAUUGCACAAUGGGCGGAAGCCUGAUGCAGCAACGCCGCGUGCGGGAUGACGGCCUUCGGGUUGUAAACCGCUUUCGCCUGUGACGAAGCGUGAGUGACGGUAAUGGGUAAAGAAGCACCGGCUAACUACGUG
rnacentral:rRNA from 1 species